UACGUAGGUGGCAAGCGUUGUCCGGAUUUACUGGGCGUAAAGAGCGCGCAGGCGAUCGUUCAAGUCGCGUGUGAAAUCCCCGGGCUCAACCUGGGAAUGGCGAUGGAUACUGGCGAGCUAGAGUGAGGUAGAGGAGAGUGGAAUUCCCGGUGUAGCAGUGAAAAUGCGUAGAGAUCGGGAGGAACAUCAGUUGCGAAGGCGGCUCUCUGGACCAUCACUGACACUGAGGCACGAAAGCGUGGGGAGCAAACAGG
rnacentral:rRNA from 1 species